CAGCCGCCGCGGGAAUACGUAGGGUGCGAGCGUUAAUCGGAAUUACUGGGCGUAAAGCGUGCGCAGGCGGUUAUAUAAGACAGAUGUGAAAUCCCCGGGCUCAACCUGGGACCUGCAUUUGUGACUGUAUAGCUAGAGUACGGUAGAGGGGGAUGGAAUUCCGCGUGUAGCAGUGAAAUGCGUAGAUAUGCGGAGGAACACCGAUGGCGAAGGCAAUCCCCUGGACCUGUACUGACGCUCAUGCACGGAAGCGUGGGGAGCAAACAGGAUUAGAUACCCGAGUAGUCCCUGUCUCUUAUAC
rnacentral:rRNA from 1 species